rnacentral:rRNA from 1 species
AUACGGAGGAUCCGAGCGUUAACCGGAUUUACUGGGUUUAAAGGGAGCGCAGGCGGAUGUUUAAGUCAGUUGUGAAAGUUUAAGGCUCAACCUUGAAAUUGCAGUUGAUACUGGACGUCUUGAGUGCAUUAAAUGUGGGCGGAAUUCGUGGUGUAGCGGUGAAAUGCUUAGAUAUCACGAAGAACUCCAAUUGCGAAGGGAGCUCACAGGACUGUAACUGACGCUGAUGCCCGAAAGUGUGGGUAUCAAACAGGAUUAGAUACCCUGGUAGUCCACACAGUAAACGAUGAAUACGCACGGUUUGCGAUAUACAGUAAGAGGCCAAGCGAAAGCGCUAAGUAUUCCGCCUGGGGAGGACGCCGGCAACGGUGA